rnacentral:rRNA from 1 species
GUGUCAGCAGCCGCGCGGUAAUACGGAAGGUCCAGGCGUUAUCCGGAUUUAUUGGGUUUAAAGGGAGCGUAGGCCGUGGAUUAAGCGUGUUGUGAAAUGUAGACGCUCAACGUCUGAAUUGCAGCGCGAACUGGUUCACUUGAGUAUGCGCAACGUAGGCGGAAUUCGUCGUGUAGCGGUGAAAUGCUUAGAUAUGACGAAGAACUCCGAUUGCGAAGGCAGCUUACGGGAGCACAACUGACGCUGAAGCUCGAAGGUGCGGGUAUCAAACAGGAUUAGAUACCCUGGUAGUCCGCACAGUAAACGCUGGAUGCCCGUUGUUAGUUCACUUAUGAAUUAGCGACCAAGCGAAAGCAUUAAGCAUCCCACCUGGGGAGUACGCCGGCAACGGUGAAACUCAAGGGAAUUGACGGGGGCCCGCACAAGCGGAGGAACAUGUGGUUUAAUUCGAUGAUACGCGAGGAACCUUACCCGGGCUUGAAUUGCAGACGCACGAUUCAGAGAUGAUGAGGCCCUUCGGGGCGUCUGUGAAGGUGCUGCAUGGUUGUCGUCAGCUCGUGCCGUGAGGUGUCGGCUUAAGUGCCAUAACGAGCGCAACCCCUUUUUUCAGUUGCCAUCAGGUGAUGCUGGGCACUCUGGGAAUACUGCCACCGUAAGGUGUGAGGAAGGUGGGGAUGACGUCAAAUCAGCACGGCCCUUACGUCCGGGGCUACACACGUGUUACAAUGGCCGGUACAGAGCGUUGGUUGUGUGCAAAUACGAUCUAAUCCUUAAAGCCGGUCCCAGUUCGGACUGGGGUCUGCAACCCGACCCCACGAAGCUGGAUUCGCUAGUAAUCGCGCAUCAGCCAUGGCGCGGUGAAUACGUUCCCGGGCCUUGCACACACCGCCCGUCAAAUCCAUAUGA